GAUGAACGCUGGCGGCGUGCCUAAUACAUGCAAGUCGAGCGAACGGACGAGAAGCUUGCUUUUCUGAUGUUAGCGGCGGACGGGUGAGUAACACGUGGAUAACCUACCUAUAAGACUGGGAUAACUUCGGGAAACCGGAGCUAAUACCGGAUAAUAUUUUGAACCGCAUGGUUCAAAAGUGAAAGACGGUCUUGCUGUCACUUAUAGAUGGAUCCGCGCUGCAUUAGCUAGUUCGUAAGGUAACGGCUUACCAAGGCAACGAUGCAUAGCCGACCUGAGAGGGUGAUCGGCCACACUGGAACUGAGACACGGUCCAGACUCCUACGGGAGGCAGCAGUAGGGAAUCUUCCGCAAUGGGCGAAAGCCUGACGGAGCAACGCCGCGUGAGUGAUGAAGGUCUUCGGAUCGUAAAACUCUGUUAUUAGGGAAGAACAUAUGUGUAAGUAACUGUGCACAUCUUGACGGUACCUAAUCAGAAAGCCACGGCUAACUACGUG
rnacentral:rRNA from 1 species